rnacentral:rRNA from 1 species
CGGCAAAAUUACCUCGUAACUUCGGAAGAAGAGGUACCCCUUCACGGGGGUUGCAAUAGAUUGACCCUGGCGACUGUUUACCAAAAACACAGGUCUCCGCUAAUUCGUAAGAAAAAGUAUGGGGGCUGACGCCUGCCAGUGCCGGAAGGUUAAAGAAGUUGGUUAGUCCUUGGACAAAGCUAGCGACUGAAGCCCCGGUGAACGGCGGCCGUAACAAUAACGGUCCUAAGGUAGCGAAAUUCCUUGUCGGGUAAGUUCCGACCCGCACGAAAGGCGUAACGAUCAGGGUACUGUCUCGGAGAGAGGCUCGGCGAAAUAGACAUGUCUGUGAAGAUGCGGACUACCUGCACCUGGACAGAAAGACCCUAUGAAGCUUUACUGUAUCUUGGAAUUGGGUUUGGUCUUUGCAUGCGCAGUAUAGGUGGGAGGCUUUGAAGAUGAUCUUGCGGGGUCGUUGGAGCCACUGGUGGGAUACCACCCUUGCAAUGAUAAAAUCCUAACUUUGAACCGUUAUCCGGUCAAAGAACAGUUUCAGGUGGGCAGUUUGACUGGGGCGGUCGCCUCCUAAAAGGUAACGGAGGCGUGCAAAGGUUCCCUCAGGCUGGUUGGACAUCAGUCGUAGAGUGUAAAGGCAUAAGGGAGCUUGACUGCGAGACCAACAAGUCGAGCAGAGACGAGAGUCGGCCUUAGUGAUCCGGCGCUUCCGAGUGGAAGGGGCGUCGCUCAACGGAUAAAAGUUACUCUAAGGAUAACAGGCUGAUCUCCCCCAAGAGUUCACAUCGACGGGGAGGUUUGGCACCUCGAUGUCGGCUCAUCGCAUCCUGGGGCGGUAGUACGUCCCAAGGGCUGGGCUGUUCGCCCAUGAAAGCGGUACGCGAGCUGGGUUCAGAACGUCGUGAGACAGUUCGGUCCAUAUCCGGUGCAGGCGUUAGAGUAUUGCGAAGACUCCUCCUUAGUACGAGAGGACCGGGGGGAAUGCACCGCUGGUGUACCAGUUAUCGUGCCAACGGUAAACGCUGGGUAGCCAAGUGCAGUUUGGAUAACUGCUGAAAGCAUCUAAGUAGGAAGCCAGCUUCAAGAUGAGUACUCUCACCGCUUCAAGCGGGUAAGAUCACGGCAAGAACAGCCGUUUGAUAGGCAUCAAGUGUAAGUGCAGUAAUGUAUUCAGCUGAGAUGUACUAAUAGAUCGAGGGCUUAU